AUUGAACGCUGGCGGCAUGCCUUACACAUGCAAGUCGAACGGCAGCACGGGGCAACCUGGUGGCGAGUGGCGAACGGGUGAGUAAUGCAUCGGAACGUGCCAUUGAGUGGGGGAUAACGUAGCGAAAGUUGCGCUAAUACCGCAUAUUCUGUGAGCAGGAAAGCAGGGGACCGCAAGGCCUUGCGCUCUUUGAGCGGCCGAUGUCAGAUUAGCUAGUUGGUGAGGUAACGGCUUACCAAGGCGACGAUCUGUAGCGGGUCUGAGAGGAUGAUCCGCCACACUGGAACUGAGACACGGUCCAGACUCCUACGGGAGGCAGCAGUGGGGAAUUUGGACAAUGGGCGCAAGCCUGAUCCAGCAAUGCCGCGUGCAGGAUGAAGGCC
rnacentral:rRNA from 1 species